GAUGAACGCUGGCGGCGUGCCUAAUACAUGCAAGUCGAGCGAACAGACGAGGAGCUUGCUCCUCUGACGUUAGCGGCGGACGGGUGAGUAACACGUGGAUAACCUACCUAUAAGACUGGGAUAACUUCGGGAAACCGGAGCUAAUACCGGAUAAUAUAUUGAACCGCAUGGUUCAAUAGUGAAAGACGGUUUUGCUGUCACUUAUAGAUGGAUCCGCGCCGCAUUAGCUAGUUGGUAAGGUAACGGCUUACCAAGGCAACGAUGCGUAGCCGACCUGAGAGGGUGAUCGGCCACACUGGAACUGAGACACGGUCCAGACUCCUAAGGGAGGCAGCAGUAGGGAAUCUUCCGCAAUGGGCGAAAGCCUGACGGAGCAACGCCGCGUGAGUGAUGAAGGUCUUCGGAUCGUAAAACUCUGUUAUUAGGGAAGAACAAAUGUGUAAGUAACUAUGCACGUCUUGACGGUACCUAAUCAGAAAGCCACGGCUAACUACGUG
rnacentral:rRNA from 1 species